AUUGAACGCUGGCGGCAGGCUUAACACAUGCAAGUCGAGCGGGGGAAGGUAGCUUGCUACCGGACCUAGCGGCGGACGGGUGAGUAAUGCUUAGGAAUCUGCCUAUUAGUGGGGGACAACAUCUCGAAAGGGAUGCUAAUACCGCAUACGUCCUACGGGAGAAAGCAGGGGAUCUUCGGACCUUGCGCUAAUAGAUGAGCCUAAGUCGGAUUAGCUAGUUGGUGGGGUAAAGGCCUACCAAGGCGACGAUCUGUAGCGGGUCUGAGAGGAUGAUCCGCCACACUGGGACUGAGACACGGCCCAGACUCCUACGGGAGGCAGCAGUGGGGAAUAUUGGACAAUGGGGGGAACCCUGAUCCAGCCAUGCCGCGUGUGUGAAGAAGGCCUUAUGGUUGUAAAGCACUUUAAGCGAGGAGGAGGCUACUUUAGUUAAUACCUAGAGAU
rnacentral:rRNA from 1 species